rnacentral:lncRNA from 1 species
UUCUCAACAUUUACUGCUGCACUAUAAAUAUAAUGUAUUAUAUAUUCUUAUGAUUUUGUAUAUUUUUUAGUCUUUCUUAUAUUUUUAUUGCAAUAGCACUUACUUCUUUUUCAGUUGCUUUUUUUAUUUUUUUAAUUCUUCAUUUUUUAUUUACUAUUUUUUUAUUUUAUUUUAUUUUAUUUAUUUAUUUUUUCGGAAUCG